ensembl:lncRNA
GGAGGAAGCUACCUGCCUUGCAGUGGGCCAAGCACUGCAUCAGAUCCAGACAAGUGCCCUCAGAGGGAGGAACUAUUAUCUUCCUCACUUUAUAGAAGCUACUGAGGCCUAGAGGGGAUAAGCGACUUACCCCAGUUGAGUUGCUGGUCAGUCCUGCAGUUUCCCUGUGCAGGCUGUGUGCCUGGUGCUUUUCCCCAGCAGCACCUGCCUGUGGCUUUGGCUUCAGCAGCAGCUCUGAGUUCACGUCUUAAUUUCCACCAGUUUUAACUAGGUGACCAUGGAGAAGUUACUGAGUGUCUCUGACCACAGAUUUCAUCCCUGUAAAUACAGAGGUUAUCCUUCAUCAAAAGGUUCUGGGUGGUCUCUGCUUCGGGUAAAGCCUUCGUUAAGCCUGAGUCACAGCGCAGCCUGGUGGC